rnacentral:misc_RNA from 1 species
GAUGAAGAACGCAGCGAAAUGCGAUAAGUAGUGUGAAUUGCAGAAUUCAGUGAAUCAUCGAAUCUUUGAACGCACAUUGCGCCCUCUGGUAUUCCGGAGGGCAUGCCUGUCCGAGCGUCAUUGCUGCCCUCAAGCACGGCUUGUGUGUUGGGCUCCGUCCCCCGAUCCCGGGGGACGGGCUCGAAAGGCAGCGGCGGCACCGCGUCCGGUCCUCGAGCGUAUGGGGCUUUGUCACCCGCUCUGUAGGCCCGGCCGGCGCUUGCCGAUCAACCAAAUUUUUAUCCAGGUUGACCUCGGAUCAGGUAGGGAUACCCGCUGAACUUAAGCAUAUCAAUAAGCGGAGGA